AUUAACAUUUAUGACGUGGACUAGUUUAAUAUAAUAAAAAUUGGUAUUUACAGUAACAACAUUGUAGUAAUUGCAUGUCAAAUUGAUGUGAAAGUUUUUAAGUAAAUGGUGUUAUUUUUCGAUUUGUCAGAACUCGUUGAGAACAGCGUGCUAUUAUAACGUAGCAUUGUGGUGACUCAUUUAGUGCACGCGCAAGCCAAUAACUUUGACCGUAAAAUGCUAUUUGACGGCCCAUUAAUAGUGAAGCUAUGCCCUAGUUUAGCUUGUCGAUUUGGACAAGUAUUACUUAUUUUCGUAGUCAUUCCGCGUAACUAAAUUGAUAUUUUUUUAAUAUAUCGGUUUCGAUUACCGAUAUCUCAGUAUUCUUAAUCAGAUUUGUUUUUGAGGUCACUUUAAACAUUGUUUGCCGGGCGUUCCGAGGGAGAAUAUAUCUGCACUUUUAAAAAUUAUUGCUGUUGUAUGACAAGGUCAAUCGAUUUACGACAAUUUAUUCAGGUGUAAUACAAAACCUAGGUCAACAUCUUUGUGACAUUCAAUUGAUAAAUGGAAACACAAGUUCUUUAUUGAAAUAAAGUCGAGUUUAGUAUUGUUUUAAUUUCACUUUUUGUUAACCAUUGAUAUAAUUAAAAAUUUA